CGAGCAGACUGGGCAGCCGCGCGCCUUAUGCGUGAGGAAAGUCCGGGCCCCAUAGAGCAGGAUAACGGCUAACGGCCGCCGAGGGUGACCUCAGGGAAAGUGCAACAGAGAUAUACCGCCGGCUUUGCCGGUAAGGGUGGAAAGGCGAGGUAAGAGCUCACCAGCGUGCGGGGAACCGCACGGCUCUGCAAACCCUAUCCGGAGCAACACCGACUGGAGAGAUACGCUUGCUCGGCGCAUUCUCCGACAGGUGGCUUGAGCGCAGCGGCAACGCUGCGCCUAGAUAGAUGACUGCCUUCAAUGACAGAACUCGGCUUACAGGUCUGGUCGCAUU
rnacentral:RNase_P_RNA from 1 species